CCUACGGGAGGCAGCAGUGAGGAAUAUUGGUCAAUGGACGAGAGUCUGAACCAGCCAAGUAGCGUGAAGGAUGACUGCCCUAUGGGUUGUAAACUUCUUUUAUAUGGGAAUAAAACGUUCCACGUGUGGGAUUUUGUAUGUACCAUAUGAAUAAGGAUCGGCUAACUCCGUUCCAGCAGCCGCGGUAAUGCGGAGGAUCCGAGCGUUAGCCGGAUUUAUUGGGUGUAAAGGGAGUGUAGGUGGAGUGUUAAGUCAGUUGUGAAAGUUGGCGGCUCAACCGUAAAAUUGCAGUUGAAACUGGCAGUCUUGAGUACAGUAGAGGUGGGUGGAAUGCGUGGUGUAGCGGUGAAAUGCUUAGAGAUCACGAAGAACUCCGAUUGCGAAGGCAGUUCACUGGACUGCAACUGACACUGAGGCGCGAAAGUGUGGGUAUCAAACAGGAUUAGAUACCCCAGUAGUC
rnacentral:rRNA from 1 species